AUAGGGGAUUCAAGAAUUCUAAUCGCCCAUAAAAAUCUGAAUCAACAAACCUAUUUACUUUUCACUUCAAACCAAUAAAUUUUGCAAACUCCCCCUAUUUACUGUUUUUAUUUAUAAGUUUAGUAAAGUACUGAGUCGAAAACAACAAUCCUUGUGGAAACGAUUAUUUUACUACUAAAUUACAUAAAUUGUUUGGUGUUCUUGCCAAAUUUAUAAUCAUCUAUCAAAAUUUUGUUUGAACAGCGUAUUGUUUUCGAUUUUAGACAAAAUGGUUUUAACUUAAAUAUAGUAAACGCAAUUAAAAACUAACCUUUUUGAGCUUUUUUGUAACUACAUCAUACAUUGUAAAUAGAUAAAAUUAUCUUCUAUUUGAUCCAUGCAAAAAGAUCAAAUCAUACAUUAAAAGUGAACAAAGUCUUCUAUUUCAAUUUUGAUGAUGUUUAGCUUGUGUUGUUUUUAAUGUACUUUACUAAUUUCAACAUAACUAUUAAAUUGAUUAUUAUAGGUGAGGGGGUGCCAAAAAGAUGUUAUGUGUUUGGAUUGCAGGCCAUGAGGAUACCUCCAAAUUUAAGAGAUAAGGAGACACGGUAAAUAAAAAUCUUUGUUGCCUUAUAUCAUUUAUAUCAUCUUAGAGUACAAAAUUAUAACAUCAAGGUCCAUGAAAUUACGAAGAACAAAAGAAGAAAAAAUAGUUAUUGAGAGCAUGCACAAAAAUUAAAUGACAACAAGUGGAAUAUUCUAGCAUAAUGUAUAUUGUACAAUUAUCUUGCCAGAGAAAGAACUCAUUUCUCUCAUUAGGGUCUUUUAGACCGUUACACAUUGAUCUUUACGACACCUAACAUUAACUCCUCGAAGUUUAGGACAAUCUUUAUCUGUUUUACAAGCCCUGUCAAAAGUCUUACUAAAAGAAGAAUUAGAUACUAUUAUGCAAAGAAAUAUGGAAAGAAAUAGAAUAAAAACAUAAACUAACUUCGGAGUUUCCACCAUAUUUUUCUCUAUUUGUGUCCAAAUAAUAGUAAAUGACUUGAUCUCUUUAUAUUGUAUAAUCAAUUUCAUAGUCUUAUAGAAAUAAUUAAAUAGUUUAAGCAUUAUACAAUUUUAAAAACCCUUUAAAAUUCUAGAAUCAUUACUAAAUGUCUCUUAAAUAUACCAAUCUAUUAUUUUUGCCCUUUUAGCACAUUAGGAAGGAGAUCAUGUAAUAAACAUAAUAAUCAAAAUAAUUGAAUACAAUUUUACUAACUUCUCAUUAAGUUUUCCUUUAGAUAAUUUUUUUAACCUUUCAUGAGUGUAAAGGGAAAAAAUAUUAUGUCAUCAUAAAGUUGUGUACGAAUAUAAAACACCAUUGGAUAUUUAUGAAAAAGU
rnacentral:lncRNA from 1 species